rnacentral:rRNA from 1 species
GCAUAUCAAUAAGCGGAGGAAAAGAAACCAACAGGGAUUGCCCCAGUAGCGGCGAGUGAAGCGGCAAGAGCUCAGAUUUGAAAUCGUGUUUCGGCACGAGUUGUAGAGUGUAGGCGGGAGUCUCUGUGGAGCGCGGUGUCCAAGUCCCUUGGAACAGGGUGCCUGGGAGGGUGAGAGCCCCGUAGGGUGCUGCGCGAAGCUUUUGAGGCCCUGCUGACGAGUCGAGUUGUUUGGGAAUGCAGCUCAAGCGGGUGGUAAAUUCCAUCUAAGGCUAAAUAUUGGCGAGAGACCGAUAGCGAACAAGUACUGUGAAGGAAAGAUGAAAAGCACUUUGAAAAGAGAGUGAAACAGCACGUGAAAUUGUUGAAAGGGAAGGGUACUGGGCUCGACAUGGGGGGUGCGCACCGCUGUCUCUUGUAGGCGGCGCUCUGGGCGCCCUCUGGGCCAGCAUCGGUUCCUGCUGCGGGAGAAGGGGCUCCGGAAAGUGGCUCUUCGGAGUGUUAUAGCCGGGGCCAGAUGCCGCGUGUGGGGACCGAGGACUGCGGCUUCUGUCUCGGAUGCUGGCAUAACGGCGCAAUACCGCCCGUCUU